rnacentral:piRNA from 1 species
GCUGGCCUCGAACUCAGAGAAAUCCGGC